AGGGUUUGAUCCUGGCCCAGGAUGAACGCUGGCGGCGUGGAUAAUGCAUGCAAGUCGAACGAAAUAUAUUAAUUUAAUAUGUUUAGUGGCAGACGGGGUAGUAACACGUAGGAACUUACCCCAGAGACGGAUAUAAUCCGCCGAAAGGCGGACUAAUUCCCGAUAGUCUCCGAGCGCAAGCGAGGAGUAAAACACUUAGAUUGGCUCUGGGAGAGGCCUGCGGGCUAUCAGCUUGUUGGCGAGGUAAUGGCUCACCAAGGCUACGACGGCUAGGGGGCGUGAGAGCGCGACCCCCACCAAUGGAACUGCGACACGGUCCAUACACCUACGGGUGGCAGCAGUAGAGAAUAUUGGACAAUGGGCGAAAGCCUGAUCCAGCGACGCCGCGUGCGGGAGGAAGUCCUUCGGGACGUAAACCGCUUUUAGAGGGGAGAAACGCAAGUGAUAGUACCCUCUGAAUAAGGGCUUGCUAACCUCGUGCCAGCAGCCGCGGUAAGACGAGGAGCCCGAGCGUUAUCCGGAUUUACUGGGCGUAAAGGGUGUGUAGGGGGCACGGUUAGUCCCGGCUUAAAUUUUCUCGCUCAACGAGAAAGGUGGCCGGGAAACGGCCGAGCUUUUGAGGGUGUCAGAGGCAGAUGGAACUCUAGGUGUAGGGGUGAAAUCCGUUGAUAUCUAGGGGAACACCAAAGGCGAAGGCAAUCUGCUGGGGCAUUCCUGACCCUGAAACACGAAAGCGUGGGGAUCAAAAAGGAUUAGAUACCCUUGUAGUCCACGCCCUAAACGAUGCACGCUAGGCAUCCGAAGUAUCGACCCUUCGGGAGCCGUAAGCUAACGCGUUAAGCGUGCCGCCUGGGAAGUACGAUCGCAAGAUUAAAACUCAAAGGAAUAGACGGGGACUCGCACAAGCGGUGGAGCAUGUGGUUCAAUUCGAUGCUAAACGAAGAACCUUACCAGGGCUUGAAAUGCCGGCGGAAGUUUCGCCGAAAGGCGGGCGUCUCACAAGGACCACCGGCACAGGUGAUGCAUGGCUGUCGUCAGUUCGUGGCUUGAGUUGUUCCCUUAAGUGGGGUAACGAACGCAACCCUUAUCUCGCGUUACAAGUGUCGCGAGAGACUGCCUCGGUAUACGGGGAGGAAGGCGAGGAUGACGCCAAGUCCGCAUGUCCCUCUGAUGCCCUGGGCUACACACGUGCUACAAUGCCCGCCACAAUGGGUCGCGAAGCCGCGAGGCAGAGCUAACCCCAUCAAAAGCGGGCCCAGUUCGGAUUGGAGUCUGCAACCCGACUCCAUGAAGUUGGAAUCGCUAGUAAUCGCAGGUCAGCUAUACUGCGGUGAAUACGUUCUCGAGUCUUGUACUCACCGCCCGUCAAUGCAGGGAAGCCGGGAGUACCCGAAUCCCGCUUAUAGCGGGAGAAGGUAAGCUCGGUGACAAAGCAUAAGUCGUAACAAGGCACGGCUAGCGGAAGCUG
rnacentral:rRNA from 1 species